AGUGAACGCUGGCGGUAGGCCUAACACAUGCAAGUCGAACGGCAGCACAGUAAGAGCUUGCUCUUACGGGUGGCGAGUGGCGGACGGGUGAGGAAUACAUCGGCAUCUACUUUUUCGUGGGGGAUAACGUAGGGAAACUUACGCUAAUACCGCAUACGACCUACGGGUGAAAGCAGGGGAUCUUCGGACCUUGCGCGAUUGAAUGAGCCGAUGUCGGAUUAGCUAGUUGGCGGGGUAAAGGCCCACCAAGGCGACGAUCCGUAGCUGGUCUGAGAGGAUGAUCAGCCACACUGGUACUGAGACACGGUCCAGACUCCUACGGGAGGCAGCAGUGGGGAAUAUUGGACAAUGGGCGCAAGCCUGAUCCAGCCAUGCCGCGUGGGUGAAGAAGGCCUUCGGGUUGUAAAGCCCUGUUGUUGGGAAAGAAAAGCAGCAGGUUAAUACCCCGCUGUUCUGACGGUACCCAAAGAAUAAGCACCGGCUAACUUCGUG
rnacentral:rRNA from 1 species